CACACACACACACACACACACACACACUAACUUACAUCAGUAGAGAACUCCACCCAGCUUUAGGCGGCUGUAUUUUUCCACAGUACCCAGACCACCUGUCUCCUUAUCUUUUGCCAGCCUAGCUGUUCCCAGGCCGUUGUUUCUCUCCCUAACUUAGGGAGACCUCUUCUCCUGUUCCUUUCCCAAGGUCAUCUUAUCAACUCUGCCCUGCUCAUUUUGAAGUGGUAACAGUGUCUUACUUACACACAGUAUUAGAAUAUAGUUUCUAACCCAUUAUUAUAGCCUUAUUUCGAAUACAUUUCAACAGGUUAUAGGGUUUCUGAGUGAAAUCAUUUAGUCAAACCUUUAAUCAUAGAAUUUCCAUUACAGUUAUAUUGAUAGGUGCGUGAAUUGGACAAUAAUUCUGUCCUGCCUGAGCAUUAAAUAUAACAAGUACUUUUUGGUGUCAAGGAAAAUGUAUGGGAGUAAAAAGUACAUAUUUUCUUUAGGAAUGUAGUGGAGUAAAAGUAGUCAGAAAUAUAAAUAGUAAAGAACAGAUACCCGAAAAAACUACUUAAGUAGCAGUUUAAAGUAGUUUUACUUGGACCAGUGUAAUAAAGGCCUAGUUCAUAAAAUUAGGCUGACCAGGCCGCGAAUUAUGAAGGACUCAAACGUGAGAUCCUGAGCCGUUAUAGAUUCAGCCUCGCACACCGUGCACAACUGGUCCACGACGGGGCCUUUGACCCCACCCUUUUCCCCCGUGCUCAGAUGAGUGACCUGGUGCGCCUGACCAAGGGCUGGCUACUGACAGAAGUACCGUCCCUCCCGAUGAUCGACAAGCUCGUCCUGGAUCGAUACCUUCGGCCCUGCCAUACGAGAUGAAGAAGACAUUGUGCAUGCAGAACCCCCAGAGCCUGCAGGAAUUGCUGACCGCUGUGGAAACUCACCAGAACACCCUGGACCUGCUGAGAGGGGCCCGAGCGGAGAGAGGGGAUGGGGUGAGGGGGACGAACAACACAAAGAGAGGACGAGGAGAUUGCACUCUCUUCCAGGCACUGUGGAGGAGGGACCUGGGGUGGUGCGCACGUGAGGUAGGAAGAAAAGGAAAAAGGACAGUGGCCUGCACAACCCACUCCCCGCCUCGAGAGGUGUCCACUGGGCCCGAGUCGGACCUGGAGGAGGGAGACGACCCCACUCCGGCAAGCGAGCCACUGUGCGAGGAAGACCUCAGGCUCCCCUUUAUGGAGGUGGAGGCCCCAGAUGGACCUCCCGACACGGUAAUCCUCACGGGUCAGUUCAGGACGGCCCAGUUAGAAGACCCCAAUCUCCAGAAGGCUAGGGGCCAGGUGAUUGUGGUGGAUGGCAUGCUGUUACAUUUGCAUUUACAUUUUAGUCAUUUAGCAGACGCUCUUAUCCAGAGCGACCUACAGUAGUGAAUGCAUACAUUUCAUUUCAUGCAUUUUUAUUAUUAUUAUAAUAAUUUUUUUGUACUGGCCCCCCAUGGGAAUCGAACCCACAACCCUGGCGUUGCACACACCAUGCUGGCGUUGCAAACACCAUGCUCUACCAACUGGGGUAAGUGAGUGGCGCUACCCCCACUUCGCCAUCAAGCAAAAUGUAUUGUACAAAGACUUGUUACUCAUACCCAGCCAGUAUGUUAGGACUGUGUUGCAGCUUGCCCACACCCACCUGCUUGGGGCACACCUUGGGAUGGAGAAAACCAGGGAGCGGAUCGGGAACCGGUUCAAGCGCACCAUGGAGGACUACUGCUGUAGUUGCCUGGAGUGCCAGAUCACAGCUCCAAGGGUACAUUAUACAUUUACAUUUUAGUCAUUUAGCAGAUGCUCUUAUCCAGAGCGACUUACAGUAGUGAUUGCAUACAUUUCAUUUAAUUACAUGCAUUUUUUUUUUUUUGUACUGGCCCCCCGUGGGAAUCGAACCCACAACCCUGGCGUUGCAAACACCAUGCUCUACCAACUGAGCCACAGGAAAGGAACCCUUUGGUUCCCUUGCCCAUUAUAGGAGUGCCAUUUGAGCGGGUGGCAAUGGAUCUGGUGGGUCCAUUGGUGAAGACCGCGAGGGGACACCAAUACAUCCUGGUAAUCGUGGAUUAUCCGACCCGGUAUUCUGAGGCAAUCCCGUUAUGCACGGUGGCAGCAAAAGGUAUUGCGCGGGAGCUCUUCCAUUUAUUUAGCCGGAUGUGUAUUCCACGGGAAAUCAUGAUGGACCAGGGCACCGCAUUCAUGUCUCGUGUGAUGAAAGAUGUCUGCAAUCUAUUACGAAUAAAACAGGUGAGGACCAGUGGGUACCAUCCACAAACGGAUGGGCUAGUUGAAUGCUUCAAUAAGAACCUAAAGCAGAUGUUGAAGAAGGUCAUCAAGAGAGACGGGAGGAACUGGGACCAGCUGCUGCCCCACCUGAUGUUCUCAGUGCGCGAGGUACCCCAAGCAUCCACUGGGUUCUCCCCCUCUGAGCUUCUGUAUGGCCGUCGGCCCGCGGACUGCUGGACCUAGCCAAAGAGGUCUGGGAAGAGCAGCCGACCCCCCCCUUCGCAGCGUAGUAGAACAUGUGGAGGAAAUGAGGGAGAGGAUGACGGCAAUUUGGCCAAUGUUGAGGGAGCACAUGGCCCAGGCGCAACGCGCCCAGGAGCGUGUCUACAACUGGGGGGCCCAACCAUGAGAGUUCCACCCAGGUGAGAAGGUCUUGGUGCUGAUCCCUACAAUGGAGAGUAAAAUUCCUGGCUACGUGGCAUGGGCCAUACGACAUUGUUGCGCUGGUAGGCGACGUCAAUUACAAGGUCCACCAAACGGGGCGGAGAAAACUCCUCCAGCUUUACCAUGUGAACUUGCUGAAGAAAUAGACCCGGCCACAGCAGAGCCUGCCCUCUGUCAAAGUUGCAAUGGGGGAAGACCUCAGCCCCACCCAACGACAAGAGCUCAGAGAGUUUGUCCAGCAGAAUACGGUCGUGUUCUCAGAGGUGCUGGGGCACACGGAUCUCGUGGAACAUUCUAUCCACACACGUCCGGGAGAAAAAGUGCGUAAAUGGCCAUACCGGAUACCAGAAGCCCGGAGGGUGGUGGUCCAACGGGAAGUGACGAUAAUGCUAGAGAUGGGGGUACUGGAGGAGUCCCACAGUAAGUGGUCUAGCCCUAUAGUGCUGGUACCGAAACCGGACGGAACCGUCCGCUUCUGCAAUGACUUCCGGGGCCUGAAUGAGGUCAUUAAGUUUGACACCUACCCAAUGCCCCGGGUGGACGAACUGAUCGACCGCUUGGGUAGGGCGAGAUACAUCAGCACAUUGGACCUGACGAAGGGGUACUGGCAGGUGCUGCUGGCAGCGGCCUCCCGGGAGAAGACGGCCUUUUCCACCUCGGGGUGGGGGGGCUAUACCACUACCGGGUUCUUCCUUUCUGGCUCCACGGGGCACCAGCGACCAUUCAGCGACUCAUGUACCACGUCUUGCGGCUGCUUAUUUGGAUGACAUAAUUGUGCACAGUGACAGUUGGGAGUCCCAUCUUUGUAGGUUACAGGCAGUGAUGGAUGCGCUAACGGAUGCAGGUCUGACUGCAAACCCCCACAAGUGCAAGCUGGGCUACGCCGAGGUGGAGUACCUGGACUAUCUGAUAGGGAGGGGAAAUGUGAAGCCCCAAGAAGAAAAAAAUCGCUGCCCUUAGGGAAUGGCAGGUCCCCCGAACCAAGAAGCAGGUGAAGUCAUUCCUGGGGUUAGCAGGCUACUACAGUCGAUUUGUACCUAACUUUGCCACAAUAGUUCUCCCCUCACAGACUUAACGAAGGCACGACUAGCCCAGACGGUGCGAUGGACGGAGGACACAGAGACGGCAUUCCAGGCCCUGAAGGAUGCACCAUGUUCACACCCGGUACUUGUCACCCCAGACUUCUCAAAAAACCUCCUGGUCCAGACAGACACGUCUGACACAGGGGUAGGGGCCGUUUUGUCCCAAGAGCAGGAAGGUGAGGAGCACCCAAUCAUGUAUGUCAGCAGGAAGCUCCUCCCGAGGGAGAAGAAGUACUCGAUUGUCAAAUCAAAUCAAAUCAAAUUUAUUUAUAUAGCCCUUCGUACAUCAGCUGAUAUCUCAAAGUGCUGUACAGAAACCCAGCCUAAAACCCCAAACAGCAAGCAAAGCAUGUGAAAGAAGCACGGUGGCUAGGAAAAACUCCCUAGGAAAAACUCCCUAGAAAGGCCAAAAACCUAGGAAGAAACCAGGCUAUGAGGGGUGGCCAGUCCUCUUCUGGCUGUGCAGGGUGGAUAAUAUAACAGAACAUGGUCAAGAUGUUAAAAUGUUCAUAAAUGACCAGCAUGGUCAAAUAAUAAUAAUCAUAGUAGUUGUCGAGGGUGCAACAAGCACAUCCGGUGAACAGGUCAUUGUUCCAUAGCCGCAGGCAGAACAGUUGAAACUGGAGCAGCAGCACGGCCAGGUGGACUGGGGACAGCAAGGAGUCAUCAUACCAGGUAGUCCUGAGGCAUGGUCCUAGGGCUCAGGUCCUCCGAGAGAAAGACAGAAAGAGAGAAAGAGAGAAUUAGAGAGAGCAUAUUUAAAUUCACAUAGGACACCGGAUAAGACAAGAGAAAUACUCCAGAUGUAACAGACUGACCCUAGCCCCCCGACACAUAAACUACUGCAGCAUAAAUACUGGAGGCUGAGACAGGAGGGAUCAGAAGACACUGUGGCCCCAUCCGAUGAUACCCCCGGACAGGGCCAAACAGGCAGGAUAUAACCCCACCCACUUUGCCAAAGCACAUCCCUCACACCACUAGAGGGAUGUCUCCAACCACUAACUUACUAAGACAAGGCCGAGUAUAGCCCACAACGAUCUCUGCCAUGGCACAACCCAAG
rnacentral:lncRNA from 1 species